UACGUAGGGGGCAAGCGUUGUCCGGAAUUAUUGGGCGUAAAGAGCUCGUAGGCGGUUUGUUGCGUCGGCUGUGAAAUCCCGAGGCUCAACCGCGGGUCUGCAGUCGAUACGAGCAAACUAGAGUGUUGCAGGGGAGACUGGAAUUCCUGGUGUAGCGGUGAAAUGCGCAGAUAUCAGGAGGAACACCGGUGGCGAAGGCGGGUCUCUGGGCAGCAACUGACGCUGAGGAGCGAAAGCGUGGGGAGCGAACAGG
rnacentral:rRNA from 1 species